CUGAAAGGCAACCUGCAGAGACUGCUCAGCGCUCUGACUCCCUGGGGAGGGGAUCAGGUAGUACAGGGAAUCCUCCUGCUGAUUGUUGGGCACCGUGCUACUCCCAGUCCCUGCUGCAUAGGUUGAGUGUCAUUAACUGUUUAACUGUGACAGCUACACAGAACACAAUAUAUAUAUAUAUAUAUAUAUAUAUAUAUAUACAUUUUCAGCAACAGAGCUCACAGGAGAUAGCUCCAAACACAAGAUGCCAGUACAGGAAUCCACAAGCCCCAAUUCCAAGGGAAGACUACCCGCAGAGGACCCAGAGCAAACGGAGAUAUUGAAGACAGCCCAGUCUAGAAUAAAUCUCGUUAUAGUACUCGCAAUAUAGAAACCAGCUAAUGAAUUUAAUCAAUAAUGACAUCCCCGCAAUACUUUCCUUACACGAGAUGUAUUGGCAAUGACACUUCCUACAGUGCACAUUUAUAUGAGAGCCAGGAAAUGCCUGCGUAACCGGUGAAAUUUCCUAUCUGUUCCCAAGUACACAUUUCCUGUAGAAAUAAAAUUGACUUAUCAGUAGA